AGUUGCUUGAAGUUUGGCUAAACGCGCGGCCUGGAAAGUGUGUAUACGGCAACGUAUCGGGGGUUCGAAUCCCCCCCUCACCGCCA
rnacentral:tRNA from 1 species